rnacentral:piRNA from 1 species
UGGUGACCAAGCAUUCAAAUAUAUGAGA